CAUAUCAGUGAGAGAGGUGAGAUUCUAUAUAACAAAUAGUGCCCAUUUUUGUAAGGCCAGUGAUGUGCAUGAGUUUGAAUUGUGGCGUUCAGCAUGCUCCAUUAGUAUCACCUGGACAAGAAUCAUCAAAUGUGUUGAGAUGUAGCUAUGCAUGUUUCUAAUUUAAGCCCAAAACCUCAGAGCCAAUGGUUGCUUUCUAAACCCCAUAGCCGGCACGGGACAGUAAAUUAUCUAUGUAAAAGGCCCUACAGCCACAGCCAUUAACAUCCUGGUGUAGUUCAUCUGUCAGACCACUGUGCAACUUAUUAUUGCAGCUGGGGUGGUCCUCUUUGGUAAAUCAAACACUGUUUGAUUCCAUCACAAGUGACGGUGAAUCAAUUUAGAGCCUUAAAAACAACUUUAGCCAUGUUAUGGGCAAUGUCAUGGGCACAUUUCAUUGGUCACCCAGGUGCACGAAAGGAAGGGGUUCGGGUGGGCUUUCCUCUCAGAAGAUAAAGUGAUUUUGUCUUGCAUGUACGUGAAGUGUGAUCCGGUGUCAGUUUCAAGCAGUUGGCUUACCACCUAAUAUAGCUACCAAAAAUCCCAGAGGAGCUACAGUCCUCCAAAAGGUGCCAGUCAACAGAUUCCUCAUCUAUGACAAGGACAGGGAAAUAAAUGGCUGAUGAAUAGAGGACUUUAGAUGCCUCCCUUCCUGUUGCAGUGUUCUGCAGUCAGAGCUGACAGAUCCCUUGGUCUUCCUGGUGGCCCAGGCACCGAGAAGCUUACCAGAACAGGCCUUGUGGGGGCUGUGUUGGCUUCGUGAAUCCCCCAGGUGUCACACACCUGCUAUGUGCAACCCCAGUGAAGACCAUGGAGCCGCACUGAGGUGUGCUGGCUGGGGUGACACCCUUGAAGGACACUUUGGGCAUGGCUUAAGAAGGAGAUGGCUAGGAGUUUCUCACUGAGAAAAUGCAUUCCAUGCAUCUUGAACAAUGUGGAGAAGGAGUAUAUAUGUGGUAUCUGGGGGAGUAUAGAACUCCAUUUCCCCCAUCGGAGGCUGCAAGCACUGCUCUGGCAUGGUGUAGCGUAUGUCAUGAUCCUCAUGCAGCGUUAACAUGUUAAAAGUGAUUUUGUAAACAUAGCCCCUUGAAAAAAGGAGCAAUAAACUCUCUUGUCAGUGACAACUGUUAGCCCAGGAGCUGCUGGGUGAGCAGCUGAAGACGAGUACAAUGAAGCAGUGUGUUGUGAACAAACACAGCGACUUCCUGAACUCUUCAACUUCCCUUCUGUGCCUCUGAAGCCUAGGGUCCAGCAUAUAAUAGCUCUGAGUGCUCAGUGCCAGAAAGUGUGUAAGCUGCAUGCAUCUCACAGUGCUCUCAAGUGUCUUCCAGUGUAAAUAAUACCCUAAUGUCCCUUUGGCCAGUUGGCCCAAAGUUGUAAGUCGGGGCAGAGCAGGUGCAUCUGUGGGCACGUUUGUACAUGCACUCAGACUGCAACUACAGGAGCUCAGAGCUGCAUGCACAAGUAGGCUUCUGUGUGCCCAAAAAGUGUCACAUGGAGCACCUGUCUCAUGGAGUAGUCCUUCUUUCACUUGUGUAUUUCCUUUUGUAGGGGUUUCCCCUGCAUAUCUGCAUUUAAAAUACGUGUCAUUUAUUAGGCAGAUGUGAUUUGUGCAAUAUGUAGCUGCAGUAGGUCCUUAAAUUUGAGGUGCUUGUACUGGAAAACAUUGCUAUGCUAGACAGAUAUUCUCCUUUCUGGAGUUUGUCCCUCCAGGUUCAUCUGUAUCUUCUAUGGUAUCUGCCAGCUUGUAGGGAAGUUGGAUUGUCAAUGGUUGUUGUAGCACAAGUGCAGAUCUCGGCAGCCUGUGAAGUCCCACUGCAUGUUACUGUCUCUUUGCCGCAGCUUGCUUCUCUCACCUCUGUGUGGGGAGGAGGAUUCCUGCAAGCCAUUCCCUCUCAUUUUCCAUUAGAACUAGACACGUUAACCACAAAUAGAAGGAAUCGGAGCUCAUUUGACUUGUUUGGUUGAAGCAAGAAGCCUGUGGGGAGUGGGCCAGGAGGUGACCCCUGGUUGGUGUUACUGGAGGCUACUCACAACAACCAGGUCUUCAUCUGGUGCAGUUGAAUUUAGAAGAUGACAUUUUCAGUGGAAAUCUCGUCGUGUACUUAGAAAUUGUGUAAAAUGCACCAAACAGAAUGCGCGGAAAUAUCCUGUGUUGGUUUGCUCUGGGCUUCUCUGUGUAAGCUGUGGGUUUGUGUUGUAGCCUGGUACCAUUGCAGCCAGCUUUGUGCCAGCAGUUGUUCCCUGCUGACUGACAGUGAUGAUUCUAGGGAUUAAAAAAGAAAAAUCAAAAAGUCUUAAUGUCUGAAGGCUAGACAGUUCCUUGAUCUGCUUCAUCUGCUAAAAUACCAGCUAUUGACUAACUCUGUAAAUGUACUCAUCUGAUCCAUGAGUUUACCACCCUUUCAUGACCUAUGUUCAGGUCCAUUUGUCCUCUCCUUAGAUGACAGUGUGUGGAUACAUACUGCUGAGAAGAGAAUCUUUGCUCUUCCAAAGUCAUAAACCCUUUCCCAUAGGACUUAAACUCCUAUGAAAAUUGUUUGCGGUGUUCUAAUGAAAAAUAUUUCUAAAAAUUUACACUAACUGCACUAUUCCAAGUAGAUACAUCAAUACUUUACCCAUUUGAUAGUCUGGUAAAUGAAUGCCUUGGACUAAAAUUUCCCAUGCAUUCAGUGUAAUUACAUUCUCCACUGUUGCAUUUUUUUCUUCUUUAAAAAGAGAGAGGUGGGAGUUGAACAUAUUGUAGUAGAAUCACAUUUAGGAUUUGGUAUUAAUACACAAAAGUAGUACAAAAAGGGCCAUUGAGUCGUGUAGUGACUCAGAAGGAAACGGAGGAGGGCCCUUUCUGCGUAUAUAGAAAUGUCAGUGGUUCAACACUGACAUGUCAUGGGAGCAGAAGUCUUUUAAACAUGCUGUAAGAGACAGCUUCUUCAUUGGGUUUUAAAAAGUAAAUGAAGCAAGUCUAGCAAGGUGCGGUGAGGAUGCAUAGGGUCAUGUGCUUCUCUACAGGAAACGAGAUCGAAGCGACUGGGGAAGUUCAGAGCUCCGUGACCUCCAUCAAAUUCAAAUAGCACAGGAAUGUACAGUCUGGGAAAUGUUCCUGUGAUCUAAUUAGCUUCAGCAGGUGCAUUCUGGAAGUGAAUUUGUCAGGUCUCGUGUUCUGCUGUUCUGCCCAAGCAUCUCUCCAGCUUCUGAGGAGUAAAAUCCUUUCUACCAUUGCUGCCUGUCCUCCUGGGGGUCAGAAGAAGAUGGUGAUUGAGGACAGCUCAGUAACAGCCCUGUUGCUACUGUUCCCUGGGCAUGGCAGAGAAUGCAGCAGAGGUCCUGGAGCUCCUGCCACAUAAUCUACGCCUCCAGACAGGAGUCUUUUAACCCAGCCUUGGGGCUGACAGGUGGAGAAGCCCCUCACCUUGCAGAUACCACUACACAAUGGACCUGUGGCACCCUGGUGUGCAACCACAGUCAGCAGAAGUCCUCCGGCAGCAUCCCAGAGCUCACUUACCAAAUUUGGUUCCUCUCACUUAUUUCCGUGCUGGCUGAAAGUUGCAACAGCUCAGACUAACUCCUAAUUCCCAAUACUUUUUGGCCUGUUAUACUACAAAACAGUGGAGAGAAGAGGAAAAAAUGUCUUCCAGGCUUCUGUCACUUUGAUUCAAAUGGUAGAAUUUCCUUCUUGCUUCACAAAGCAAACAAGUGGUCAGAUGUGCAGCAUCCUAAAAAAAAAAA